CGGAAAUGUGCCUGAACAAAGGAUUACUUUGAUAGAGUAAAAAACAGGGGUUUAAGCCCCCUCAUUUCCUACUAGAAAG
rnacentral:tRNA from 1 species